rnacentral:lncRNA from 12 species
UCCGAGCCCAAGCGCUCGCGCGGCUCCGGCGGAGCUGCCUUUAAUCCAAAGUGAAACGGCGCUAAUUUUAUCCCGGCAAGGUCGGGAUGCUGCGAGGGGCAGGAGCUGCUUGUCUCCAGGCAAAAGCUCCAGCCACAAAAAGCGGAGCUGAAGUUUGCCAAGCCACCACCUGCCCGGCAGAGCCGCAGCCUCCCUGCUCCCCUCCGGGUUUGCUCCGGAGCAUUGCGGGGUCGCGGCCGCUGCCCUUGGGCACCCCCCGGGCGGAGGAUGAGCAACACAAUCACUGCUCUGAGAGGAGAACAAUCCCCGACUGGGACACAUCCUGGAGGAGCACAGGGAAGAGGGAUGGCGUGGCAGGUGUGGAAUGGUGUGGGUGUGCGUGCAGCAUCCCGUGAAACCAGAUCCUUCCGAGCGGGGAAGGCCAGGAAGGCCCGGCUGUGACACUCAGCUGCUGAUCCCGCCUCGGAUUUCAUCCACCCCUCCAUUCCCGAGCUGGACGGUGCCCGGUUUUCCUCACAGACACUUAGUGAGGCACUGCGGCCCCAGCUAAAACACCGGGGGUUGGGAGUAAAAAUAACUGGGAAUGAUCCGCUCCUUGGGAGCACAAUGAUCAACGCCAAGCUGGCACCGCACGAAGUCCCACCCCGAGCGCACACAAACCCUUUAAAAGGUAAUAUUUUGCCACUAGGAUGGUGCUCCAGCUCGCUGCUGACUCAGGAGCGGCCGUGGGAUGAGCGGGGAGUUCCCACGCAUCCCGACAGCGCGGGGAGCUCGGGGUCCGGGGGUUCCCCAGCCCGGCCCGGGGACAUCUCUCACUGCGCUUCUCGGGGCUGAUCCGCUCUCUGCAGCGUCCAAAAAUAGCGGCGGCACCGCGCUGCGAUGGGCGUAGGGAGGAAGUGUGACUCAUGUGGCACCCGGGCCCCCGAGGAAUGCGGGAAUGAUGCGGGAAUGCAUCCCAGCUUGGCAGGGAUGGGAAAUCUCCAUCCCAUCGCCCGGACACGGCUCUGGAGCUGGCACAGGCAGCAUCCCAAACCCACGGAGGAGCACGAGGUGCGAUCCCUCCUUCCUGCACAGCCCCCCCGGAGCCACACGGCUGCCAGGGCAGGGGCAGGAGAGAUUCCUGCUUUUCAGGUGGGGAUCUUCCCGUGCCAGACCCUUCCCCUGCUCUGGGUUUGUGGGGUCCUGGCAAGCAGAGCAUCCCCCAGGCUGCCCCCACACCCUCCUGUCUUCUCCGGGGGGGCUCCCAGAUGACGGACCCUGCUCCCCCCGUUGGCCCAGAUUUGGGGUGUCUCUGGGCUGGUGUUACCCCCAUUAACAGGAGCAUCCUCACGGGCGGCUCUCGCUCUCUGCAGCCCCUCAGCUCGGAGCCUGGAGAGAUCCCGAGCUAAUUCCUGACAGCAGUGGCACAGGGCUGGGGACAAGCUUAGCUCCUCGUCUCAGAGGCUGCUGCACCUCCACAAAAGUCGCAUUUGAAGAGCAUUAAUACAAGAUUAAUCGAGGUUUUAAUAAACAGCGAAUCGAGCGCUAAUGGAGCCCAACUUGUAAGCCAUGUGUAACACCCCGGGGGCUUAAAGACAUCCAGAACGGGGCUGGAACAUGCUGAAAGGGGGUGUUAAUCACCUUGCAGCGCUGAAGACACCGCAGGGGAAGGGAGUUUUAGGGGAAAGGCUGCAGGUGAGCCUCGGGCACGACCUCUCCCCUCCCACUGCUUCAGGACACGGGGAUUUACAAGCGUUUCCCCCACCCCAGCGCUGGCACGAAGGCAGCAGAGGAAUUUGGGACACCUGAGUGCCCCCGGGGCUGGAGCCACGAUGAAGCAAGGCCAGUUUAUAAGGGAAGGCCAGAUGUGCCCUGGAGUGGGGUUAUCCCCAGUCACGAAGUAGGGGGUGGCAACUGGGGGUCGUUCGGGGUGGGCAAACCCUGCAGCUGGCCUGGGACCCCUCUCCGGGGGCUGCAGGAGCCCAUCAGCGCCUCCCUGGCUGGAGCUGCUCCCAGAUCAGGUAAUCCCAGACAGGCAUUUCCAUUCCCUCCAUCACCUCCAGCCUGAGGAAGGUGCAGCUCCCUCAGCCUCUGCUGG